rnacentral:snoRNA from 1 species
CAUGUCCAGAGGCGAGAUCGUCUCCCAAGUUCUGGCGGCCUUGACCUCGACUACAACCCGGUCGUGUCGGCGCUUGCUGUGUGGGUGGAACCCGUGACCGUUCAGGAGCUAUACACGCAGCUUCUCAGUUUUGACG